rnacentral:tRNA from 1 species
UCCUUGGAGGACUAGUGGUUAGGCCUUGGCACUCUCACCGCCACGGCCUGGGUUUGAUUCCUGGUCAGGGAU